rnacentral:tRNA from 2 species
AGGCACGUAGCUCAGUUGGCUAGAGCACUACCUCGACACGGUAGGGGUCAGCGGUUCAAAUCCGCUCGUGCCUA